rnacentral:rRNA from 1 species
CUACGGGGGGCACCAGUGGGGAAUAUUGGACAAUGGGGGAAACCCUGAUCCAGCAAUGCCGCGUGUGUGAAGAAGGCCUGCGGGUUGUAAAGCACUUUCGGUUGGGAGGACUGCUUCUAGCACUAAUAUUGUUGGAAGUUGACGUUACCUUCAGAAGAAGCACCGGCUAACUCCGUGCCAGCAGCCGCGGUAAUACGGGGUGCAAGCGUUAAUCGGAAUUACUGGGCGUAAAGCGCGCGUAGGCGGCUAGAUCAGUCGGGUGUGAAAGCCCCGGGCUUAACCUGGGAACUGCAUCCGAUACUGUCUAGCUUGAGUACAGGAGAGGAGAGUGGAAUUCCACAUGUAGCGGUGAAAUGCGUAGAUAUGUGGAGGAACACCAAUGGCGAAGGCAGCUCUCUGGCCUGAUACUGACGCUGAGGUGCGAAAGCGUGGGGAGCAAACAGGAUUAGAUACCCCUGUAGUC